rnacentral:rRNA from 1 species
UUUAUGGAGAGUUUGAUCCUGGCUCAGGAUGAACGCUGGCGGCGUGCCUAAUACAUGCAAGUCGAGCGAACGGACGAGAAGCUUGCUUCUCUGAUGUUAGCGGCGGACGGGUGAGUAACACGUGGAUAACCUACCUAUAAGACUGGGAUAACUUCGGGAAACCGGAGCUAAUACCGGAUAAUAUUUUGGACCGCAUGGUUCAAAAGUGAAAGACGGUCUUGCUGUCACUUAUAGAUGGAUCCGCGCUGCAUUAGCUAGUUGGUAAGGUAACGGCUUACCAAGGCAACUA